GAGAUUUUUUGAACUUUUAUCUCAAAACAACGUGUACUUUUCUAUACUAAGAACAACUGCAUUCAUAGUUAAAAAAAAAGAAAAAAUGGAAAUAAGCCCUUUUGAAAAGACACUCCUCACUUAUCAUUUUUAUGUGGAACUCUUAUAGCUGUUGGUGGUGGUAGCAAUUGAAUAAACUUAGUCGCACGAAUCCGGCUGACGAAUAGACUGCCAUUUUUGUAUUAAUUAAAUAAUUCACAGAUACAAAUCCAGAAUAAAUAUUCUCUAUAUUUAUGUAUUCCUACUCUCUGUUCCUAUGUAGUCAAACAGUAUAAAUGUAAAUGCUUUGGAACUUUAAUCAGAUGGUUGUUGUAACUUGACGUAAUUUUCUGUGAUAUAUUCAUACAAUUCCACAUUGAUCUGUUCAAAUAAUUAAUGAAUACUUAUGCAUUAAUUUAACAAUAAGCAAGUUCUAAAUGUAUUUGUGUCAAAAAGUAUGACCAAGCAUAUUUUGCAUUUUUUAAUUCGAAUCAAGCACCCGGCUUAGCGCAUGAUUGGCACAAGAUUAUGUCGCCGCGACAUAAGACUACUCGUAAAAAACGUGUGAUGUAGUAGCAGCGAUACAUUGUCGCGCCAAUCGCAUGCUAGCUAUGCCGGGAUUUCUAAUUAAAUAGUUGUAGGUUUAUUAUGGCUGUGUAAAGGAUUAGAAUCAGAAUAUUGAUGUUGUUGAUUCCUAUCUUAUCUAAUACUACCUAGCCUAGACGAUAGUAGUAUUCUUUAAUGCAUCCUCUAUUGGCAAUGUGUUGUACUAGUGGAAUAUGUGUGUAACGUCGAAUGUGUCAGAACGUUAGAUUUACUAGUAAAUUAAUUUCAACCACACUAGUUUUUCUUGUAACUAUUACCACUGUUACUGUCACUUAUCCCGUAUAAUAUAAUAGGUUAGUUAUUUGAUGAGUAAAUGCAGUCGCUGUAAAAGAAUUGUGACUGUUAUCAAAUUACCUGACGGUUUUGCAUAACUUGCGUUCUCGCGCGUGAGUCUAUACCUCAAGUCGCGCUAUUAGAUGUAUCGAUAUACUAUACAGUGAAGGGUAACUUAAGGGUAACUUCGAGUAUAUAUUAUACGAAAAGUAAAACGACUAAUAUCAUAAAAAGAAGCCGUCUUUCUGUCCCCCGCGGCUCGAUUUCGACGAAGCAUGACGUCAUUACCGGCCUCAAAUGUGGUUCCAAUAAACGAAACAAAUUCUUUUAGUCACAAAUAGCCCACACUCCUAAGAUUUUCACCACAGCAUACCCAUUACAUGCUUACCUCUCCUCAGUAUCUUAUUACGUGAAAAUUUGGCAUAAAAUCAUAAUACCAACCGAAACUUUUGUUAAAUUUUCACUUUUAACGAGCCAACUAUCGAGGUUUAUAAGAAUGGAACAUUUGUUGAGUCGCUCAUCCGUCGUGCAGACGCGACAGGAUGCCCGCUUUCGAGGGCAUCCAUGCGUGCGUAUAAUAGAAGGAAGGUAAUAUGAUCGUCCUGUAGGCAGGGCCGUUUAUAAUUGCUAUACUAGGAGCAUAAUAGUGUAGUUCCUUUUAAAUAAAAAUAAAUCCUAUUCCUGUUGUCACUUGGAACUUUGCUAUAUAGAUAAAGUAAACGUAGGAGGAGGGCAAUGCAAACGUAGAUUAUGAUUUACAAAAAAUAUACCUUUACUUCGCUUGUAAGUUCGAAUAUGCGUAACAAAAUAACAUUGAGAGUUUGAAUCGGCAUCUUUACCUUUCAAUUUAAAGAAAAUAAUUUAGAUCAUCUCAACAUUAGAAUUCACGUUAAGAAUUAUUACUUACUCUUCAGAUAACUAGCCUAUUUUGAUAAUACCCAUACUUGUAUUUAGUUGAGAUGCAAAUGUUAUAGUAAACCCGAACUUAUCUUGUGAGUGCGUUGUGUAGAGCGCUAUGAAAGUCGUCCAACACUAGUAUACAUACAUUGUACAAGCUACUACUCGACUUAUGGUUGUAAGUGUAGACUGCCUUUGUUAUUCUGAGCUUGUGGAUGUAAUAAAUGAUGUGUUAACAAACUA